AAGCACAAAGACUUGGAGGGCUCCCUCCCCAGCUCCACUCCCUGGCCAUCACCCACAAUCUUCCAGCAGGAUGGUGGAGUGAAUCUCUAUGGAAAGUUGGCUUACCCCAGUGCCUGUCUCCUGGACUCAGAGUCAAGAGAAAAUAUGAUAACAGCUCUGAGAUGCCAUUCCUACCUCCUGGACAAGAGCCCAAUGUCUGAAAUGGUUUAGACAAGACAAGGUGUCUCCUUUGGAAACAUACAACCGGAGCUGGGACAGGGAAAGAGAACUGGGAGUGGGGAGGAAGAUUUCCUACACCUGGUGAGGAUCUGUGUAUAUACAGUGGCCAGAAGCAAGAAGAGAAGACCUAGGAAUGUGGAAGCCUCUACUGCCGCAUGGAUGGUAGAGACAUGGAAUCUCAAACUCUGCCGGGUCCCCAGCCCCUUUCCUGCCACCGUUACGAUUUCUGGCUUUCUUUACGCAACUCUCCUCCACUCCCCGCAUCUGCAGGGAGGGCUAAAGUGGACGGCGCAGAACGACCAGUGUGGGAGGGGACCAAAUGAUUUGAAAGAGGGGUCACCUGUCAGUGGUGAAUAAACAAGGCCCAUGAAGAACGCCCCCCUAGCUGACUUCUGAAUAAAAGUUUCAGGACCGAUGGACUCACCAGGGGUAUGGGGAAGAACUUUACCUUCUAGAAGUCUCCCAACUAUAUUUGCUUGAAACUAUAGAUUUGGGGUGGGGGGCUGGGAUAGAUUCAGAUCAUCUAGUCUAGCGGUCAUCACAAUAAGACCAAGGGCUAAAAUGAACCCACUACCUAAUUUAUAAAUAUAGAUGGACUGGAACAUGGCCAUGCCCACACAUUGUCGUAUUGUCUAUAGCUGCUUUUGCUGUGCGUUAGCAGAGGUGAGGCGGUGCUCCAGAGACUGUAUGG